rnacentral:lncRNA from 1 species
GCUAGCAACUGUUUCUGCAUCAAUUUAAACAAAGAUCUUAUAAGUCUAACAUUACCAUAGAAAAACUAAACAUGUUCCCACUUGUAGUACUUCUUACGACUCAAUAUUCCCUUGGCCGACUCUGCAUAUUAGUGUUUGACAUGCGUUCUUGAUUGGCCUGCACAUAAAAAAGAACCGUAAGGAAUUUUCAUGAAUUGCCAAAAGCUUUAUAUGCAAUAUGGCUGUACCAUGAUCGUAUGAGAUAACAAGAUGCUGAAUUUACUUGAAAGACAUAUUAAUUGUAAGUGUAGAUUAUUAGGACCUAAAGUUGUACCAGAACCAUAAAUACUUUUGCGUACCUAGUCUAGGGAUAUAAAGAUAACCAUGUGGUUGCAAUGCACAAUAUUUGUAGUACAUCCAUAAUGUUUCAGCAAUGAUGCUACCCAUUACUAAUUGUUUCCAAAUCCAGAAAAGAAAAAAACGAGCUAUCUUAGCAACUUAUGCACGGCUCCAUAGAUCUAUAGUCAAUACUGUCCAUAUGAGCAAAUCAGGCAUUACGGCAGAAGCACACUGUGGGAGUAUUAAAUAAUCAGGACACGUGUUUAACAUCAGGAUUAUCAUCUAAGGAACUAACGCAAGUUUUCCAUGUGAUUAAUUGCCAAGGAGAACUGCUUGUUGUGUAAUAUGGUUCUGAACCUGAGGCCAAUUAGACAUGCUUCUCCGCAUAUGCACAAAACAUUAGAUAUAACUGAUACAGAAUUAACACUUUAUCAGAAAGGGGCGAAUGCAGAAUUAACAAGACAAAAACUGUAGCCACAACAUUUUGCAGUGAUAAUUAGCUACCUGCAUCUGUCAAUGAUGAAAAUAGUACAAGGGGCAUGCGGCACCACUACAGUCCAGCACAUAAUGCACGAGGUUACUACUAAUAACUCUUUCUGUAGGCCAUAGGCCAACAGCCAUGAACAACAAUAGAGCUGCAAUAUUUGGGUGCUCACGAUGAAAUUAUAUCAGCUAUUAACAGCAAGGACAUGGGAUAAACAAAACCUCCCAGAGUCCAUUACUUGUAUUAGGAAUUUAAAACAGAGACCAUACACUUAAAUCCUUACAGUAAAGUAGCAUCUCUGAACUAUUGGAAAUGUUAUUUCACAAAAUUUUGAAGCUCACCCACCAUAUAAUACGAUAACCUGAGGAUAUAAUUCCUCGUCCAUGAGCUUUGCCAUGGUCACAACCAUAUCAAGCAUACAAGCUUCCUCUGGAGGUAUUGUCCAAAUUUUCAGUUCUACUAUCCGAAACUUUAUCUACAUGCUACUUAUCGUGUUUCCCUGAUUCUAGCUCAUUAAGCAAUGAGCUGCACUUAUGUAUUGGAAUGCAGAACAACAAAUACUAACAAUUUCAUAAGAGAACCUAAUGGUCUAUUGUGAUCCAUAUUCUGAUCAUAGGCAAGAAAGAACAUAC